rnacentral:rRNA from 2 species
GUGGGGGGCCUAAUACAUGCAAGUCGAGCGAACUGAUUAGAAGCUUGCUUCUAUGACGUUAGCGGCGGACGGGUGAGUAACACGUGGGCAACCUGCCUGUAAGACUGGGAUAACUCCGGGAAACCGGAGCUAAUACCGGAUAACAUUUUCUCUUGCAUAAGAGAAAAUUGAAAGAUGGUUUCGGCUAUCACUUACAGAUGGGCCCGCGGUGCAUUAGCUAGUUGGUGAGGUAACGGCUCACCAAGGCAACGAUGCAUAGCCGACCUGAGAGGGUGAUCGGCCACACUGGGACUGAGACACGGCCCAGACUCCUACGGGAGGCAGCAGUAGGGAAUCUUCCGCAAUGGACGAAAGUCUGACGGAGCAACGCCGCGUGAGUGAUGAAGGCUUUCGGGUCGUAAAACUCUGUUGUUAGGGAAGAACAAGUACAAGAGUAACUGCUUGUACCUUGACGGUACCUAACCAGAAAGCCACGGCUAACUACGUGCCAGCAGCCGCGGUAAUACGUAGGUGGCAAGCGUUAUCCGGAAUUAUUGGGCGUAAAGCGCGCGCAGGCGGUUUCUUAAGUCUGAUGUGAAAGCCCACGGCUCAACCGUGGAGGGUCAUUGGAAACUGGGGAACUUGAGUGCAGAAGAGAAAAGCGGAAUUCCACGUGUAGCGGUGAAAUGCGUAGAGAUGUGGAGGAACACCAGUGGCGAAGGCGGCUUUUUGGUCUGUAACUGACGCUGAGGCGCGUAAUUCUGACCAC